AGAGAUAAUAGACAUCUACCCAACGCUCAUUUUAAUUCUGCAGAUAAAAAUAGAAAUCAAGCAGAGCAGGAUUAGAGUAACAUCAAAAGUUGUAGAAUUGAUAAACAGUGCACCAGAGGAUAUUCGACCAAAAGUUUUCGUUAGUGCAACAGCUGUUGGUUACUAUGGCACCAGUGAAACACAAGUGUUUGAUGAACAAAGUCCAUCAGGAAAUGAUUACUUGCUGGUGGACC